CGCCUAACACAUGCAAGUCGAACGAAGUAGCAAUACUUAGUGGCAGACGGGUGAGUAACAUGUAGGUAUCUACCCUUUGGCCUGGAAUAACACGAGGAAACUUGUGCUAAUACUGGAUAAGUCUUUACGGAGAAAGCUUUAUGCACCAUUGGAUGAGCCUGCACUUGAUUAGUUUGUUGGUGGGGUAAUGGCCUACCAAGACUGUGAUCAAUAGCUGAUUUGAGAGGAUGAUCAGCCACAUUGGGACUGAGACACGGCCCAAACUCCUACGGGAGGCAGCAGUGGGGAAUCUUGCACAAUGGAGGAAACUCUGAUGCAGCGAUGCCGCGUGAGUGAAGAAGGCCUUUGGGUUGUAAAGCUCUUUCGUCGGGGAAGAAAAUGACUGUACCCGAAUAAGAAGGUCCGGCUAACUUCGUGCCAGCAGCCGCGGUAAUACGAAGGGACCUAGCGUAGUUCGGAAUUACUGGGCUUAAAGAGUUCGUAGGUGGUUGAAAAAGUUGGUGGUGAAAUCCCAGAGCUUAACUCUGGAACUGCCAUCAAAACUUUUCAGCUAGAGUAUGAUAGAGGAAAGCAGAAUUUCUAGUGUAGAGGUGAAAUUCGUAGAUAUUAGAAAGAAUACCAAUUGCGAAGGCAGCUUUCUGGAUCAUUACUGACACUGAGGAACGAAAGCAUGGGUAGCGAAGAGGAUUAGAUACCCUCGUAGUCCAUGCCGUAAACGAUGUGUGUUAGACGUUGGAAAUUUAUUUUCAGUGUCGCAGCGAAAGCGAUAAACACACCGCCUGGGGAGUACGAC
rnacentral:rRNA from 1 species